rnacentral:rRNA from 1 species
CCGAGCGAACGCCGCGUGCAGGAAGAAGGUUUUACGGAUCGUAAACUGCUUUCUCGGGGAAGAGAGAGGACGGUACCCGAGGAAGAAGCCCCGGCUAACUACGUGC